GCUGCCGCUGCGGGCCAUUCCAUGGACCUUAGAGAAGGAUCUCACUGGAAACCGCAGAGAUCUGGACAGACUCCAGGCGCUGGCGACAGUUUACGCCCUGAUGCCAGCCCCACUCCGUGUUUUCCUUACCUGAGUGAAUAGGUUUCCUUUAUGCUCCAGCCGGAUUGGGUCUGGUUUUCUGUUACUUGUAACAGGAACAAUUUGAAUAAGUCGGAAUACUGUUAACCACCUUCCGCCCGUGGUUAGAUUCAAAGAUGUCUUCUGUAUAUGAGCUGCUUUGGGCAGUGACUGCCACUCUUCAAGUCAUUGUCAGGAAUCUGUCUUGAACUCCAUAAAGUUCUAAGAAAAAUCCCCAUUAAAAAAAUUUCCCCUCCAUCCAAGAGUUUAAAAUCUCACAACAGUCUUACUACCUGCAUGUUUUCCACCUGAAAGAAAUGGAUCUUCUUGUUAGCCACACAAUAUUUUUCUGCAGGCUUUUGUUUGGAAAUUUAACCUUGUAAUGAUUACUUUGUAAUUCCUGACCAAAUCAUAGCCGACCUGGCAGAUGUUUGAAGAAGAUGCUGUGGGGUGUACAGUCCUUACCCCUCCUCCGGGUGGUGAGUUCUGUGUUUGGAACCAAGCUAUUGCGUCAGUGGCCAACAUUCUCGGACAGGGUUAAAUAACCCUCAUAAACAACCUGUCUCACUCCCAAAAGGUGCUCUUAGUGAUUUAUAUUUUAAUGUUAUGGCUUUAGUUUUUUUGUUUUUUUUUUUAAUUUUAUUUGUUUAAAGAUGGGCCUGAGAUGCUGCACAUAGGCAGAGAGCAUGCUCGCAUCUUCUAGAAGCCUGGCUGAGCACUGCUCGGCGCCACUGUUCGGUGCCCAUUGCGAAAGCACGCACAUGGCUGAUUUAUUCUAGAGUUUCACAAGCAUGACUUGUGAGUGUUCCGGGAGUGGUGUGAAGAGAUAGGUCUGCAGAAGAUGAGGGACAGUUAGGGGUGUGUAUUAGAUGGUCAGUGUGUUUGGUUGCUCUGCUUCGUCCCCCAGAGAAGGACUGGACGUGUCUGGAAUGAAUGCAUCUGUCCUCUGCCUAGAACCAAGCUGCCGUGCGUGGCACCAUGUGAAAGGGGUGUGUGCAUAAACAUAUAAACAAAGAAGGGUGAUGAUGCCUGCACAUCUUGGGGGGGGUGUCCAGGGAUGGGGGGCUAGUUAUGUGGGAAACACGUAUAUGGAGGGGACUCCGAUCCUGCAUCUUGGCCGUAGAGGAAGCAAUGCGGAGAAAGUGUCGACGCUCUAGAGUGGCAGCUGGGGUUGGUCGGCUGGUGGGGGGUGAGGUUUUCCCACGAUUACCCCAGAGACACGUCCUGGAUGGUGAUGUUGGGAACGUGAGGAUCUUGACUACGUCCUGCCCACGGGGUUUGAGUUUGCCCGUCCGCGUGGUCUCCGUCAGCCCCUGCUUGGGCCGGACGGUUCGGCUGCCUCAACACCCUCCUUCUCUCCUAGUUAGUAUCUCCGUGCUCUCCGGCUUCUCCUCUGUAUUCUACAAAAUGCUCUUAUCCUACCCGGUGCCUGUUCUCUUCCCGCCUGUGCUCACGCAGCCCUUGGCACUGAAAAUAUCCGUAAGGAGCAGAAGCCAAGGGCAUACGGUCCUUUUUCUUCCUUAAGAUAGCUUUCAGUGUUGAAAUCGCCACUGAAAACACGUUUCCUUCCAUUUGUUUCUCCUAAUCAUUAGUAUUGCCUUUAACUUUCUCCUAAUGCUGCUACAUUUAUUACUGAUUUCUGGUUUUAAACUUGUUUCCACCCGACUAUUUCCCUUUUUCAAAUAACUCAAAAUCCUUUCCUGUAUUUUGUGACCCAGGAGGUUCAGCAAUUGUUGGGAAAUCUGCUGUCCCUCCGUGUCCCACAGCAGCACUGUGUACUGGUAGGUACCUAAAGAGUUCUCAUUCCUAGGGACUAUUCUAGACUUUUGUUUUCUAUUUAAUAAAGAAAUGGAAAAGAGCUCAGGGCAAGUUGUUGUAACUCCUCUGGCAAAAUGCAUACAUAUAUUUUUAUCUCUGUGACCAGAGGCACAAUGAUUACAUCAUUCCUGUUCGCAUUACAGUAGUGCUAAAGGAUCGCUGAUGAAAACAUCCCGUGUGCUGCAGAAAUGGGGAGGAAACAGCUUAUUUCAGUUCCUUGCCUGUAGAGUCAUGGGCAUAGCAAAAGAGCUCUGUUAAAAACUUGUUUUCUGAAUAGGAGAUGGAGCAUAUCCAUUCUUUGCUGUGGAAUCCAGGAUAUUUAGAAGCAAUUUAUCACUUUGGUAAAGAAUGGUGUCCUGUUACGAUCUAAGAACGGACGUGAUAAAGAUAUUCAUGCUAAAAAUGCUGUGAUCACAAUGUGCAGACAUUGAAAACAUUUUGUCAAAGGCAGUUAGUACAUAGUCAUCGUAUUAAAGGAGUUUGAUUGGGUGAUGUGACCCUGUGUCAGACGUUUGUGAUUUGUCUGCCCUGACUGAAGGUUUUGGAAGUGUGCAGAAACAUCGGCGAUGCCAGCUUACUAGUACAGUCCCCGCAGUACCCUGGGACGUCAGCGUGUGCCGGUUUCCAGCCACCACAGCUAAGGUUAAAGAAGAGAAUUCACAUGACCAUAUCGAUAGGUGGAGAAAAAACACUUGAGAAAAUCCCAUAGUCAUUCUCGGUGACAUGAUCGUCUAUAUAUACAGUCUUGAAGAAUUGGCAACAAAAUCUUGAAACUCAUAAACAACAAGUUCCAGGAUAGGAAAGCCAACUACUUUCUUAGAGCUCAGCAAUGAACAAGUGGGAUUUGAAAUGAAAAACAGAAUACCAUUUAUAUUAGCACCAAAACAUGAAAUGCUUAGGUAUAAAUCUACUAAAAUAUGAACGAGACCUGUCUGAGGUAAAACUACAAAGCCGAUGGAAGAAAUUAAAGAUCUAAGUAAAUAAAGAAGAGAUAUUCCAUUUCCCUGAAGAGGAAGACUCACUGUGCAUAAGAUGUUGGUUUUUCCUGACUUGAUCUAUGGAUUCAACACAACAGCACGUUGUUGACAGACGGAUUCUACAGUGUGUUCACCCUUUGUUCCUUAAAAAACAAACAAAUAAAAUGAAAACUUCUUCUCUUGUUCUGC